rnacentral:rRNA from 1 species
UACGUAGGGUGCAAGCGUUGUCCGGAAUUAUUGGGCGUAAAGCGCGUGUAGGCGGCUUUGCAAGUCGGGUGUGAAAGCCCUCAGCUUAACUGAGGAAGUGCGCCCGAAACUGCUUGGCUUGAGUACCGGAGAGGAUGGCGGAAUUCCCCAAGUAGAGGUGAAAUUCGUAGAUAUGGGGAGGAACACCGGUGGCGAAGGCGGCCAUCUGGACGGAUACUGACGCUGAGACGCGAAAAGCGUGGGUAGCAAACAGG